rnacentral:rRNA from 1 species
UACGGGGGGGGUAAGCGUUGUUCGGAAUUACUGGGCGUAAAGGGCUCGUAGGCGGCCAACUAAGUCGGACGUGAAAUCCCUCAGCUUAACUGGGGAACUGCGUCCGAUACUGGAUGGCUUGGAUUUGGGAGAGGGAUGCGGAAUUCCAGGUGUAGCGGUGAAAUGCGUAGAUAUCUGGAGGAACACCGGUGGCGAAGGCAGCUUGCUGGGACGGUACUGACGCUGAGACGCGAAAGCGUGGGGAGCAAACAGG